rnacentral:rRNA from 1 species
UACAGAGGGCCCAAGCGUUGUUCGGAUUUACUGGGCGUAAAGGGUGCGUAGGUGGCGGGGUAAGUCUGGUGUGAAAGCUCCGAGCUCAACUCGGAAAAGCAUUGGAAACUAUCCCGCUUGAGGGUCGGAGGGGAGACUGGAAUUCUCGGUGUAGCAGUGAAAUGCGUAGAUAUCGAGAGGAACACCAGUGGCGAAGGCGAGUCUCUGGACGACUCCUGACACUGAGGCACGAAAGCUAGGGGAGCAAACAGG